CCGUAGCUCAGCUGGAUAGAGUACCUGACUACGAAUCAGGUGGUCGGAGGUUCGAAUCCUUCCGGG
rnacentral:tRNA from 2 species